rnacentral:rRNA from 1 species
GACGAACGCUGGCGGCGUGCUUAACACAUGCAAGUCGAACGGAAAGGCCCUGCUUUUGUGGGGUGCUCGAGUGGCGAACGGGUGAGUAACACGUGAGUAACCUGCCCUUGACUUUGGGAUAACUUCAGGAAACUGGGGCUAAUACCGGAUAGGAGCUCCUGCUGCAUGGUGGGGGUUGGAAAGUUUCGGCGGUUGGGGAUGGACUCGCGGCUUAUCAGCUUGUUGGUGGGGUAGUGGCUUACCAAGGCUUUGACGGGUAGCCGGCCUGGGAGGGUGACCGGCGACAUGGGGACUAAGGUACGGCCCAGACUGCAACGGGAGGCAGCAGGGGGAAGUAUUGCACAAUGGGCGGAAGCCUGAUACAGCAACGCCGCGUGCGGAAUGACGGCCUUCGGGUUGUAAACCGCUUUCGCCUGUGACGAAGCGUGAGUGACGGUAAUGGAUAAAGAAGCACCGGCUAACUACGUG